rnacentral:rRNA from 1 species
GGAGUUUGGGCCGUGUCUCAGUCCCAAUGUGGCCGUUCACCCUCUCAGGCCGGCUAUUGAUCGUCGCUUUGGUAAGCCGUUACCUCACCAACUGGCUAAUCAAACGCGGGUCCAUCUAUAAGCGAUAAAUCUUUUCUCACUCUCUCAUGCGAGACUGUAAGCUUAUAUUGUAUUAGCAGUGAUUUCUCACUGUUAUCCAAUUCUUAUAGGCAGGUUACCCACGCGUUACUCACCCAUCCGCCACUAGAAUGAUAAGAAUCCAACCGAAACCUUCAUCAAAUCAUUUCCGUUCGACUUGCAUGUGUUAGGCACGCCGCCAGCGUUCAUC